AUCAGAGUGGUUUAUCUGAAAGUUGGGAUGAGUAACAAUUUCUUUAAGUAAGACAACUGUGAAGUUUGUCACAAUGACGAACCAUUGCUCUGUAAGACUCAAUGCUGUUUGAUAGCAUUUUACCCAAGCAGAACUUCUUCCAAAAUUAGUCAAUCCUCUUAAACCCUGAGGUUUGCUUUAUCAACUGAGUUUAUGUAAUAUUCUCACUCCUUUGCUGACAUUUAAACAAUAUUCACAGUAUCUUCACCAGAAGAAGAUGCCAUUGCAAGAAAGCACUUUCUUUGCUUGUCCAUAAGCAAAUCCUCAACCAUGUAAGUUUCAUCAUGAGAUUAUAGUUAUUCAGUCACAUCUUCAGGCUCUGCUCCUAAUUCUGUUUUCCUGCUAUUUCCAGCACAUCUGUAGUGACUUCCUCCACUAAUAUCUUUAACCCCUUCCAAACUCUUAUUAAUGUUAGUUAAUAACCACAAAUGUUGUUGAUAGCAUCUAGAAUGGUAAAUCCUUUCCAGAAGGAAUUCAGUACAUUUUAUCAAGAUCCACAAGAGGAAUCACUAUCUGUGGCAGCUAUAGACUUAUGAAAUAUAUUUCUUAACUUGUAAGAUUUGAAAUGUGAAAUUACUACUUUAUCCAUGAGUUACAGAAUGGAUAUUGUAUUAGCAGGCAAAAAAAAAUUAAUCUCAUUGUACAUCUCCAUCAGAACUCUUGGGUGACCAGAUGCAUUGUCAAUUAGCAAUAAUAUUUUAAAAGGAAUCUUUUUGUCUGAACAUCAGUUCCCUACAGUGGGCUUAAAAUAUUCAAUAAGUCACAUUGUAAACAGAUGUGCUGCUAACAUUCAGGCUUUGUUGUGCUAUUUAAAGAGCAUAGACUGAGGAGAUUUAGUAUAAUUCUACAGGGCCCCUGGGCCUUCAGAAUGGCAAAUGAUCAUUUGUUUCAACUUUGAGUCACCAGCAGCAUUCGCCCCUAAAAAGACAGCCAGUAUAUCCUCUGAACUCUUGAAGUUAGGCAUUGAUAUCUCCUCUGCAGCUAUGAAAUUCUAGAUGGUACCUUGUUCCAAUAUAAGGCUGCUUCAUCUACACUGAAACUCUGUUGCUCAGUGCCAACACCUUGGUCAAUGACCUUAGCUGGACUUUGCAGGAAACUUGCUGCUGCCUCUCCAUCAGUACCUGCUGCUUCCCUGGCACCUUUUUAUUAUGGAGUUGGCCUCUUAAGCCUCAUGAAUGACAUCUGCUGACUGCAGACUUCUCUUCUGCAGCUUCCUCACCCCUCUCAGCCUUCAUAUCAUUGAAGAGAAUUAGGCCCUCGCUCUAAAUUAGACUUUGGCUUAAGGGAAUGUUAUGGCUGGUUUGAUCUUCUACCUACCCACACCGCUUAUCUGUUAGAGUCUGUAAACAAGUCAAAAUAACACCUGGCAUUUUGCCAGGGGAAUGUUAGAGUUCGUAAACAAGUCUGGAUGGUGCCUGGCAAAAUGCCAGAGGGAGUGGUUUGAGAAGUAACAAAAGCAAGCCAUUAAGUGUGGAGAUUCCUGAUUGGUUGACUGAUGUAUCUAGUUUAUGCUAAUUAGAUAAGCUGUGUGGAAUGUAUAAAUACUGCUCCUGUCCUGCAAUAAACGGCUCCCACUCCUGCUGUAUCAAUCUACACAAGUUAUUCGUCACCCCCCGGUUAUUCUGCUGCAGUCGGACUGUGGCACUUAUCAGCAAUAGGCUGUUUCAUUUUCUUAUUUGUGUGUUCCCUGUGUACUUUUAAUUUCCUUCAAGAACUUUUCCUUCGCAUUCACAACUUGGCUCUUGGGUGCAAAAUGGGAAGAUUUCAGCUCAUCUUGGCUUUCUACAUGCCUUCUCCACAAAGCUUAAUCAUUUCUGGUAUUGGUUUAAAGUGAGACACAUGCCACUCUUCCUUUCACUUGAAUGCUGAGAGGCCAUUAUAGGGUUAUUAAUUGGCCUAAUUUAAAUUCUGUUUAUCUCAGGGAAAAGGUAAACCUGGGGGGAGGGAGAGAGAUGGUAAAUGACCAGCCAGAAUAACAGUAAGAACACUCACCACAAUUGUUAAGUUUGCAGUCAUAUGGGUGUGGUUCGUGGCACCCCAAGACAAUUACAAUAGAUCAAUGACCGCAGAUCACCACAGCAGAUAUAACAAUGAUGAAAAGGUUAAAAAUUGUGACAAUUACCAAAAAAUGUGACUUUGGGAUGUGAAGUGAGCACUCGUAUUGGAAAAAUAGCACUCAUAGACAUGCUUCUUGCUGGUUGCUUCAAACCUUUAAUUUAGAACACACACACACACACACACACACACAUAUACACACAUGAGAAGAAAACAUAAAAUGAGUUAUGUCUGUAAUGGUGAAAAAAUAUCCAUAUCUAAUAUCUGAUAACACUUAGGAAAGCUGCUCUGAGAAUAAUAGCAUGUCUUGCACAAAAUAAAAUUAUAAAUUUCAGGUAAACAUGGAUUUGAAUGAAGCAUUUUUCUGUAAUGCCAUUAAACUCUUACUCUAUCAAUAAGCGCCCCCCCCCACACACACACACAAAUGAAAG
rnacentral:lncRNA from 1 species